rnacentral:lncRNA from 1 species
CAUAGAUACACUAUUCAAACCAAUCAUACAAGAUUCCAUGUACCAGUCCAACACAAACCAAAGUUUGUGUUGUGUCUACAUUACUUAUCAAUCAUGCAUUGUUUGCCACAACAUCACUCUGCGACCCCAUGAACUUGGGGUGUAAACCAACUUAUAAUUGCAAUGGACAAGCUCCUUGCAGGCCAGCCGUUCUGCUCCCCCACAC